rnacentral:tRNA from 1 species
AUUGCUCAGUUGGUUAGAGCAUGGUGCUGAUAACACCAAGGUUGCGGGUUCGAUCCCCAUU